rnacentral:tRNA from 1 species
GCAGUCGUGGCCGAGCGGUUAUGGCGAUGGACUUGAAAUCCAUUGGGGUCUCCCCGCGCAGGUUCAAAUCCUGUCGACUGCG